rnacentral:rRNA from 1 species
GACAGAGGAGCCAAGCGUUGUCCGGAUUGACUGGGCGUAAAGCGUGCGCAGGCGGUUCGCAAAGUCUGAUGUGAAAGCCCCGGGCUCAACCUGGGAACUGCAUUGGAAACUAACGGGCUCGAGUGUGGCAGAGGGGGGUGGAAUUCCACGUGUAGCAGUGAAAUGCGUAGAGAUGUGGAGGAACACCGAUGGCGAAGGCAGCCCCCUGGGCUAACACUGACGCUCAGGCACGAAAGCGUGGGGAGCAAACAGG